rnacentral:lncRNA from 1 species
AUGGUUGAAGGGCGGGCAGCUAGAGUUGCAGGGAAAGCUCCUACUUCCUGUGAGCCUAUGAGCUUUUACUUCCUCAACACAAAGACAGCUUGUAUAACGCUUUUGGAAGUUCUGCUCUGUAAUGUCUUUAGAGCUGACAGUCUGUUAGAUUUGUUUUUUUCUUCAUGCUAAAGUGUCGGUGGUUUUGUGAACUGGUCAGAAAUUCACAGGUCUUAAAUGUUUGGGGGAAAUUUAUAUUGGACACUUCUCUUUGUCUAGCAAAUAAAAGAUGUUAAUAUAUUCCUGUUACUGGCAUGUGCACGACUAUGUUAUUAGAAGCCACUUUAUCGUUUUCCUGCUUUAAAUAGAAAUGUCUAUUUAUGAAUUCUGCUUGUAGUUUUUUCACAAAUAAAAUAGUAAAAUUUACACUGAAAUCUUUAUUUUUGUCUGUGUAGACAUUAGCAAGUAGGAGGUUACUUUUUGUACUCAGAUUUUUCACUUAUGUAGUAUUUCAGGAGAACUGGAGUUUUAUCAGAUGCUGAAGUUGGUUUGGGUAUCUCGGUACAUGGCUCAGAGCUGCAGCAGAAAACAGUGGAACCAAAGAAUGCCCGAAUUUUGGAAGAAAGCAAACGAGUGUCUCUAAAGGAGUCCUUUGAGGUAGGCAGUGAUGAUAUAAUGAAGGAAGUGAAGAUGAUGGGUAACUGGUUAAUUCAGUGCCUGAAGAACUGAAGAACCCUGGAAAGAACCCAUUUCUGGCCAACUGCAGCUAACUGCAGGUUAACUGUGACCCUCGUGUAAAGGAAAUAGUGUCAAACCUAAAAGCUGCAUAAAGCCAGCAUCUUGCCCAGUGCUAAGGAGGUCGUCACUUCCAAAGAUGUGGAAACCACUUAGAACACUUUUAAGAUUCACCCGAUUACGCUUCCUAGUCUAGCAAAUGGGAAGAGUGUAAAUGGUUCAGGAUCGUAAUAUGAAAAUUGGUUUGUCCUGGUAAAAGAAAACUUAGCAAACGUCAUUCUCUUUUGUCUUCCAGUACUGGGUUAUAGCUGGAGUCUGGCUCUUCAAGAAUCUUGGAAAGAAUCUGGAUGGACUGAAGAACAGGGAACAGAUAGUGACUCAUGUUUCCCAGGGCCCUCAGGCGAUGGGCUGGCUGCACCCUGACUCACAGCGUUCCUUGGUACCUGAGGAAUCUUUAUGGGUCCCCACACUGGCGCUACCCUUUGGGGAAGCUAGAGGCUGCCUCCCAUAAUAGAUAAAGGCAUACAGCUGAAGGCUGGUCCCUACCAUGGAAGUGCAGGGAUGUCUUUUAGUGAAUGCCUUCAAGUUGUGAAGAUGAGAAGGAAGGUGAAGUCUUCUUUCCUGUAUCUUUAGCUAAACACCAGCCUUGAUAACACAUGUCUAGACACCCCUACUGAGGAAUACCAUGGCCAAUGUAUUAACACCACCAUGGUAGGAAGCUCUUGCUGAGUUAAUCUUGGUCGAGGUUAGGAUGAUGUCUUCAGCUGAAAAGUCCUGCAUUCAUUGUCCAGUAACAUGGAAAUCGGCCAGCCCCUUCCCCAGAGCAGUGAGGAGAAGGAAAGAGCUGUCAUUGAGGCCCUGCAUCUUUUUCAUCCCUGACCUCCCAGCAGUUUAGAGCUCCUCUGAAACUUUAACAUCAUAGCAAGGAAAGCUUCAGAGCCACUGGUAUGUUAGGCGUAAAAAUUCUUGAUCAAUCUUGCUCGCUAAUCAUCGAGAGAAGCCAGGUUCUAAUCUGGCCACCCUUACUGGUGCUUGUCGGGAAAGGUGAGUCUUCAUCUGGCAGCCUGAGCUGUUACACACAGUAGGUAUGAACCA